rnacentral:rRNA from 1 species
UGAGGAAUUUUGCGCAAUGGGAGCAAUCCUGACGCAGCAACGCCGCGUGGGUGAUGAAGGCCUUCGGGUCGUAAAGCCCUGUCAGGUGGGAAGAAUGUCCCGGGACUGAACAGGUUUCGGGAGUGACGGUACCACCAGAGGAAGCACCGGCUAACUCCGUGCCAGCAGCCGCGGAAAUACGGAGGGUGCAAGCGUUAUUCGGAAUUACUGGGGGUAAAGCGCGUGUAGGCGGCCCUGCAAGUCUGAGGUGAAAGCCCCGGGCUUAACCCGGGAAGUGCAUUGGAAACUGCAGGUCUUGAGUACUGGAGAGGAUGGUGGAAUUCCCGGUGUAGAGGUGAAAUUCGUAGAGAUCGGGAGGAAUAUCAGUGGCGAAGGCGCCCAUCUGGACGGUAACUGACGCUGAGACGCGAAAGCGUGGGGAGCAAACA